GACGAACGCUGGCGGCGUGCCUAACACAUGCAAGUCGAACGGAGUUGUUCCUUCGGGGACAACUUAGUGGCGAACGGGUGAGUAACGCGUGAGAAACCUGCCUUUCGGUGGGGGACAACAGUUGGAAACGACUGCUAAUACCGCAUAAUGUUAUUUGGGGGCAUCCCUGAAUAACCAAAGAUUUAUUGCUGAAAGAUGGUCUCGCGUCUGAUUAGCUAGUUGGUGAGGUAACGGCUCACCAAGUCGACGAUCAUUAGCCGGACUGAGAGGUUGAACGGCCACAUUGGGACUGAGACACGGCCCAG
rnacentral:rRNA from 1 species